UACAGAGGAGGCAAGCGUUGUUCGGAAUCACUGGGCUUAAAGCGCGUGUAGGCGGUCGGGCAAGUACUUUGUGAAAUACCUGGGCUCAACCUGGGAAUUGCUUGGUAUACUGCUUGACUUGAGGCGGAUAGGGGUGCCUGGAACUCUAGGUGGAGCGGUGAAAUGCGUAGAUAUCUAGGGGAACGCCAGAGGCGAAAGCGGGGCACUGGGUCCGUCCUGACGCUGAGACGCGAAAGCGUAGGGAGCAAACGGG
rnacentral:rRNA from 1 species